CAAACGCCUGUCAUACGCGUUUCUGAGUAUAGGAUUCUAAGCAAUUGAACGUCUUAGAAUGGAAUCGCCCAGUGACACUCGUUAUGAGAGGAAUACUCCAUGGCCAGGAACCGUUUGAAACUGUAUUCCAGCAUCUACGCAGGACAAAAAUGCUUCUAGGUAAUUCUGUUGUAUCUGUAUGGCUUGCGGUAAAUUUUCUAGAAUGACCAAAUUUAUUAAGUGGAAUGAAUGCCCUUUCAGUUCCAGCCAUAAAGUAUCUACAUAUAUGUGUAGAAGGUAUCUAGAUGUCCUGGAAAGAACGUCAUUGAAGUAAUAUCGGUAUUCUUCGGUCAGACAACUCAUGGCCGUUGAUGCUACUUUUCCGGUUAAAUAGUAUACCAUCACCAUCAAUACACCCUUCAAGGUCCAAACACGUCUUCAAUAGACAGCAGUUCUGCUUGAUACGGGGAGGAUAUUCCCUUAAGAUGAGUUCGAAGUACAUAGAAUUCAAAGGCAUGAUCUAAUCUAUUCCGAUUCAGAUGUUGACUUGUUUUGAUCGAAGUGAUCCUGCCACAACAUGCAGCAUCUGAAGCUUCCAUGAAGUGCAAACUUUAAUUCGGAGCCACUACAGUUAAAAUGUUGAUUUCCGGACAAAUGUAGUUGGUUUGUAAAAUUAUAAAUGUUACACCAAAUCCAAAAUGUAUAUUUACUAUCAAAAAUCAUCAGUUUGCAUAGUGGUGAAAAUGUGAUUACUAAUGUAAUGGCCAAUUAUUUGAAAAUAUCAAUAUAUCUUUGAAGUAUUUCAUGAUCCCAUUUUAAGGCUGACAAUGAAUAUUCUUACAUUUUUUUUUUAACUUCGGAAGCCUUGAAGUGCAUGUAAUAUUUAUCAUUCCAAACAAAUAUUUGGCAUAUCAGUCGAUAUUUCAUCUAAAAAUUGUUUGAAAUUUUAUAGCUACUUAAAACGACUUUAAAAUAUUGGUUUGCAUUCAUUUUCUUCAAACGUAAUGCUUGCUUUCUACUUUGAGAAACAAGCUAU